rnacentral:misc_RNA from 1 species
CAGGACGCCACGGGAGUAUUUUUAUUAUUCAAAGCAUAUAAUGGCAAAAUAAUAAUAAAUCGAUGAUGUAAGACAACAUUCUUCCCCAAUGGACCGUUUAUCUUAUGGAUGGUCACGGAUGACCACCGUAGAGCCUUGGUAGUAAUCUACAAAUUGCAGUCAAAUGCACGUAUUAUAGCCAGUUUGUACUGUAAUUUAACGAGUAAGAACGACCAUUUCACAUUACAUGUGCGUAUACGUAAGAACUACACGCGGCCAGAUUUUUUAUUCGUUUUAUAUCCGG